AAUCUUCCACAAUGGGCGAAAGCCUGAUGGCGCAACGCCGCGCGAGUGAAGAAGGUUUUCGGAUCGCAAAACCCUGUUUUAAGGGAAUAACAAGUACAGUAGUAACUGGCUGUACCUUGACGGUACCUUAUUAGAAAGCCACGGCUAACCACUCGCCAGCAGCCGCGGUAAUACGUAGGUGGCAAGCGUUGUCCGGAAUUAUUGGGCGUAAAGCGCGCGCAGGCGGUCCUUUAAGUCUGAUGUGAAAGCCCACGGCUCAACCGUGGAGGGUCAUUGGAAACUGGGGGACUUGAGUGCAGAAGAGGAAAGUGGAAUUCCAAGUGUAGCGGUGAAAUGCGUAGAGAUUUGGAGGAACACCAGUGGCGAAGGCGACUUUCUGGUCUGUAACUGACGCUGAGGCGCGAAAGCGUGGGGAGCAAACA
rnacentral:rRNA from 1 species